rnacentral:lncRNA from 1 species
ACGAACCCAAGUCCCCAAUUAUGUGAAUUUGUAAAAUUACCAUCAAUUAUUGAUUCUCGACAUUGUUUUAUGAAGAUCGAUAUUCUGUUAUUUUAAUCAAUUUUUGUUAGUUUCACCAUUAAAAUGUCUUGUGAAGGCCAAUAUAAAUAAAAUGUCAAUGACUUUUUCGUUUGAUAAAGCACGUAUUUACAUAAGGUCGCAUUUGCUCAAAUUCGUCGUGGGUGAGGAAUCGACACUUCAGUAGAAAACUCUAAUCAUCAACCAAGAAAUUCAAAAUCUUUCAUCAAUUAAUUCGGUGGAGAAUCAAGGAGAAGUUGUUGUUCAUUGCUGUUUUGGUUACUAUUGUUGUUGACUUUUUUUUACUCUGCUUUUUGAUUGUUGAUUUUGGGACUGUGCUAUAGCUACAUUACGGUUCACACCUUUGUUCACAACCCCCUCACAUCGGGGGCCCGCACACAUUAAAAAAAAUAGAGGUGGGGCCCCCUCAUUGUGAGGGGGUUGUGAACGCUUCUGUACAGCCCGAGCUGUACAAGCAGCUUAGUCCUUUUGAUUAUCGGCGUCAUAGACUUUUUUUUGCUUCUUUUCUUACUUCUUGUUGAUUGCUGUGCAUUGAUUGUUCUAAAAUUGAUUGUUUUGGUUGCUUGGGUGAAGGUCUCUUUUGUUGGGGUUUUGUUAGCUUGUAAAUUGCUAGCGUUCAUUGGAUUUACUGCGGAAGGAUGUUUUUCGCAAUAUUUUAUAGAUUAGAAUUGAAUUUUGUAAAGAUUAUAAGGUUAAGGUUGAUUUUUGCAAAGUUU